rnacentral:rRNA from 1 species
AGCAGCCGCGGUAAUUCCAGCUCCAAUAGCGUAUAUUAAAGUUGUUGCAGUUAAAAGCUCGUAGUUGAAUUUCGGGGUCUGUCCAUUGGUCGGGCUUUACGGUCCGUACUGGUGUGAUGGGUUCCUACCUUCUGAAUAACCAGCAUGCCAUUCAGUUGGUGCGCUGGGGAAGCAGAGCUAUUACCUUGAAAAAUUAGAGUGCUAAAGCAGGCUAGUGCUUGAAUAGAUUAGCAUGGAAUAAUAAAAUAGGACGGCAUGGUUCUAUUUUGUUGGUUUCUAGGAUCACCGUAAUGAUUAAUAGGGAUAGUUGGGGGGCAUUAGUAUUCAAUUGUCAGAGGUGAAAAUUCUUGGAUUUAUUGAAGACUAACUACUGCGAAAAGCAUUUGCCAGGAUGUUUUCAUUAAUCAAGAACGAAAGUUAGGGGAUCGAAGACGAUCAGAUACCGUCGUAGUCUUAACCAUAAAACUAUGCCGACUAGGGGAUCGGACGAAGGUUAAUUUUUAUAAUGACGCGUUCGGCA